GAUGAAGAACGUAGCGAAAUGCGAUAAGUAAUGUGAAUUGCAGAAUUCAGUGAAUCAUCGAAUCUUUGAACGCACCUUGCACCCUUUGGAAUUUUCCAAAGGGUAUGCUCGUUUGAGUGUCAUUGUACUCUCAUACUCUCCGAUCCUUUGGAUAUGGGGAGCGGUGGACUUAGGUGCUUGCUGCUUCCUUGUGGCUCACCUGAAAUGCGUCAGUGCAUCUCUUGAUUGGACAUAGUACGGCGUGAUAAGUGUCUUCGCCGGCACCUCAUAAGAGGGUGGCCGAUCGGGAUCUCUGUGCUUUCAAACCGUCUUCGGACAAUCCCUGACAACUUGACCUCAAAUCGAGUAGGACUACCCGCUGAACUUAAGCAUAUCAAUAAGCGGAGGA
rnacentral:misc_RNA from 1 species